CGAUGCAGAAAUAUUACGUUCGCAAUUGAGUGAACUUGAAAAACCUUAUUAAAACGACGACGUUCAAGGGAGCGAGAAGUUUGGAUUCGGUAACGUUCACCGGAUACGACGUACACACGUUAUUAACGCGGCGGGCCAUAACUUAAUUGUAACAAACGAAACACAUCCAUGCGGUGAUCUGCAUCGCACCUUGUACGUAUACGUUCUGAAAAUUAUUCGCAAUUUGCCAGCGUGCCCUUGACCGUUGGAAUCCUUCUCCUUUUCACGCCUCGGAUGGAUUUUUCCAAAUCAUCGGGCGCGUCGAUAUAAUGCGAGGUCCGAAUUUCAGGGAAACCCGAGAAAUUUGCCGAUCAUAAUCACCUUUUGGCGGUAAUUCGCAUCUCUCACGGCCUAUGACGUUACGGGUAUACAUAACGUACCGUCGAAUUAUUAUACCUGUAUACCUGCUAUCCUGUUCGGGCCUUUCUCGUGCACGACUCAAUCGAAAAAUGAUCACGGCUACGACAAAGCAGGUCUGGAAAAUUUCCAACCGCGGGUACGAACAUCCAGCAAUCUGAACAAUCAUUUUACCAUCGACCAUCGAAAUCCUCACCAUGUUACGUCGACGAUCCUUGUCACCGGUCAGUCGGUUCGCGAUAGCCGCCAUAUUAUUAUCGUAAUCGCCUCGGUGCGUGUAUCGUAGAAAUUAACAGUCUCCCGACAGCGAACGAAUGCUCACAUUGUUCGGAUGGAUGGGGCACAACGACGAUCGAGGAUAUCGAAAAUUUUUGAUGACAGCUGGACAAAUAAGGGCAGGCAGGAUCUUUCUUUAGCGACGGUACGCAUCGUCGACGGAGAGGCGAAAAUCGCCGUUUCCGAGUCCGACGAGAGACGUGCGCGACGCGUGAUUAGGUGAGAAGGUAUAGGUGCAGGGCAGGUAGAAGGCAUAUACCCUUGUUACUCAUCGAGCAUCGGUACACGGAGUUGAAUAUCUGCGCACCUGGAUAAAGCGAGGUUCGCCAGCAGGCAGGCAGGCCGGGCCAGUCAGGCAGGCGGGCAGGCAGGCGGCCACCUUUCCUUUCCCUUCGCUUACCUGCCUGGCAUUUUCACUGUGGGACAGCGGCAGCAGCUCGAGCCGAAAUCGCGUCGCCGCGCGCACCCCACGAACGCCGGACGAAUACAUGUAUCAUAUUUUAUUUUAUCGUUAUACUCUUUCCGCGUUUUAUUCUUUCGCUUAAAUAAACGUUGUUGUUGUAUCGUUGUUAAUUACGCGCGUUUUACCGGACAGUGGCUGGUGUUUUAUCGGUCGAAUAGUUCUUUCUAGCUGUGCGGAGAAAAUUUUCGUUCGCGAGAUCGAAUUAUAUUUUAGCCGCAUUGUAUCGGUUAUCUUAGAAACUAUAUAUAUAUAUAUAUACGCGAAUUGAUUGUUUACGAGGAAAAAAUCGGAGGAACAGUGAGGUGUACUUUAUAUCGCCUGUUGUGCGUGAAUUUACUCAAGCUGUUAUGAAAUAAUUGAAUAACCGUACCCUUCGGAUACCUGUACACAGGUAACAAUCUCGAUUCGCCAGGCGACUUUUAAUCCGACGGGCCACGGUAACAUCGAUAGGAUUUAAACGUGCGACGCAGAUUGAUACAAGUGGAGGAAUAGUGUUCGUCUAGUGAACUUUGAUAAGUGAAUAUAAAAGCCAAAAAAUAAAAUCUGAUCGAAAUAAGUGCUGUGCAUAACCUACAUUCGUAACCGCUGAGUAUUUUUUUUCACACCUGCCUUGCCUCUGUGCUCAGAGCGAUACGGAGACAUAACCUAAAACCCGAUCGAUUUCGAAUCGAUCGUCUCCAUUUGAAAGUCCUCGCUUCCGAGUAUUUGAAAAUUAUGUCGACGUGUACCUUUGGAUCGUAAAUAUUUGGACGUAAGUUCUGUCGUUGAUCACCUUUCGAUCACCAUCCCGUUAUUUUUCCCUCCCCCCCUUUUCCUCCUUUCAUUUUAUCGGUUGGAUACAUAAAAAUUUUUCCGUCACAAACACGCACACAUGGAUUUAGAAAAUAAUUUCCAAUCGUAAUCCCAACACCCGGAAUUGGGUUUAAUAUAAUAACGGUGGGGGUGGUUCGUACUGCGGUGUUGUGAAAAUAAGAAGAAAGUAAAAAUAAGUAAAAUUGUCACCGCUGCUUAUUCGGGCUGAUAUAUUAGACCGGAAAUGCAGAUGAUGGCCGGAAGAGGGCCGACGCAUCUGGUUGCCCUUUACGUGGCUACCGCUGGGCAACAAGGAAAUGCGCUGGGCUCCGAUGAAGAGGAAGUUACCCUCUUGGUUUACGUCCUCAUUGACGCUUUACAGAAUAAGGUUAUGGGGAGCCAACAGUACAUCGUACGACCGGUGUUGACGGACGUCGUCGGAGCAGCGACCACCGUCGACAGCGGAGUGCAGGCAGCCGGAAGUAGCAGAAUCGUUAGCGAAACGGCAUUGGCUCACGCGCCGGCUUUGACCGAAGCUUAUCUCAGAGAACAUGGAAUCCCACUGCGUCAGGCGAUCAUACUGUUCGAGUCGUGGUGGUCGUCGCUGACUUGUGUGGCAACCGGAAGUUCGCCCCGUUUCGUCGUGGAUGGUCAGGCGCCGUUACGACAAUGUCUGCAUCCCCAAGCCUGCAACAAGGAGGUCGAUCUCCCCCCGCACUACACCGUUUUUCACGACCUGAGGAAAGAGUUCGCCACCUGCUACUCUUCGCAGGACGACCUCGCCACCCUCAGCAUACAAGACAUGCUGCAAUACUUUGGUUUGGCGCCAGACACGGAAAAUGAUUACCAUGUGAAGGAGGUUCAGGACAUGGUGACGGUCAUACAGAGGAUGAUAAAGGAUGGACAUACAUUUCUGAACCCUGAAGUCGUCAAUUUAGUCCUGGAACCUGGCAUAUGUUCGAAGAACGAAGAGGUAGACAAUAACUGCGUCGUAAGGGCACGAGGUUUACCUUGGCAAUCAUCGGAUCAGGACAUUGCUAAGUUCUUCCGGGGACUUAAUGUUGCCAAAGGUGGUGUUGCUCUGUGUUUGAGCGCACAGGGUAGGCGUAACGGAGAGGCAUUGGUACGUCUGGUUAGCAAAGAGCACAGAGACAUGGCGCUGAAGAGGCACAAGCAUCAUAUCGGAGCCAGAUACAUCGAAGUGUACAAAGCUUCUGGCGAAGACUUUGUUGGAGUUGCAGGAGGUGCUAGUGGUGAAGCGCAUGCCUUCCUUUCCCGCGGGGCUCAAGUCAUCGUUAGAAUGAGAGGGCUGCCUUAUGACUGCACCGCCAAACAAGUUUUGGAGUUCUUCCUGGCCGGAGAAAGUCCGUGUCAAGUAUUGGAUGGCGAAGAGGGUGUACUUUUUGUGAAAAAACCUGAUGGGCGAGCAACUGGCGAUGCAUUUGUACUUUUUGCCAAAGAAGAAGACGCCUCUAAGGCCCUUAGCAAGCACAGGGAUCUGAUCGGUAGUCGAUAUAUCGAACUCUUUAGGAGUACAACUGCUGAGGUGCAACAGGUAUUGAAUAGAUCUAUGGACCCAAAGACGUACGAGGCACCAGCGCCACUGCUCACAACAAUUCAGCAAGUUCCUCUACUCCCGCAACACAUAAUAACUUCCGGUACACGCAAAGAUUGCGUACGUCUCCGCGGACUACCCUACGAAGCUCAAGUCGAACAUAUACUAGAUUUCUUGGGGGAGCACGCUAAAAAUAUUGUACUUCAAGGAGUUCACAUGGUCUACAACGCUCAGGGUCAGCCGUCGGGCGAGGCUUUCAUUCAGAUGGACGGGGAAAGUUCGGCCUACGCUUGCGCGUCGCAACGUCAUCAUCGUUACAUGAUAUUCGGAAAGAAGCAACGUUACAUCGAAGUAUUUCAGUGCAGCGGCGAAGACAUGAAUCUGGUAUUGACAGGCGCCGUAGCACCACCGCCAGCGAAAGCUCUGCUAUCUCCCGGAGGCACUAUGAUGCCACCCCCCUAUGGACCGGGGGCAAUAUUUCCCGCCCAAGCAGCAAUGUUGCCUCGAGGACCGCCUCAAUUCGCACCCGCGUAUCCACCGAUCUUCUACUGGCCAUAUCCAUCGCCACCCGUCAGUCCUACCAGCUAUUAUAAUCCGGGAGGCGUUGGUGGUAUAGCGCCGAUUCCUCAGCAAGCUGCUCUUCUGACCUCGCCGGAAUGCCUUCAUCUGGGUCCUCCGGAGCCUAGAGUACAGGAUAUCCAUCUACCAAGACCCGAUGUGGAUAAACGUAUUCCACUUCCACCACUGCAAGCUCCACGUAGUCAGUACAUAGAAUUGUUCAUGGUUUGAUGGGGGUUGCUCCCUCGGACCUAAGGAAUAAUCAAGUCAACGCCUUGCCUCGCCCAACAGAUAAACUAUAGAUGGGAUCGAUCAUGGCUCACAUUUAGCAAGUCCCGUCAUGAUUAUGUUAUCGGAUGAAAACGUCUACAGAACUGUAUUCUUCAAAUUUUAUUAGAAAAUUGUAAUUUUACCGCAAUAAUCUACAGCUGUAUGCGUUGGUACAGAUUCAUCGGUUAAUUCCCAUAAUACACGCAUUAACAUAGAUAUAUUAAACAUGAUCGAUGAUCGAAGAAAAAUUGGUUUUUUCCUUGGAUCGUGCGCUGUACCGCAAAGACGAAA
rnacentral:misc_RNA from 1 species